GAACGGGUGAGUAACACGUGGGCAAUCUGCCCUUCACUCUGGGACAAGCCCUGGAAACGGGGUCUAAUACCGGAUACGACCUCCGACCGCAUGGUCUGGUGGUGGAAAGCUCCGGCGGUGAAGGAUGAGCCCGCGGCCUAUCAGCUUGUUGGUGGGGUGAUGGCCUACCAAGGCGACGACGGGUAGCCGGCCUGAGAGGGCGACCGGCCACACUGGGACUGAGACACGGCCCAGACUCCUACGGGAGGCAGCAGUGGGGAAUAUUGCACAAUGGGCGAAAGCCUGAUGCAGCGACGCCGCGUGAGGGAUGACGGCCUUCGGGUUGUAAACCUCUUUCAGCAGGGAAGAAGCGAGAGUGACGGUACCUGCAGAAGAAGCGCCGGCUAACUACGUGCCAGCAGCCGCGGUAAUACGUAGGGCGCAAGCGUUGUCCGGAAUUAUUGGGCGUAAAGAGCUCGUAGGCGGCUUGUCACGUCGGAUGUGAAAGCCCGGGGCUUAACCCCGGGUCUGCAUUCGAUACGGGCAGGCUAGAGUUCGGUAGGGGANAUCGGAAUUCCUGGUGUAGCGGUGAAAUGCGCAGAUAUCAGGAGGAACACCGGUGGCGAANGCGGAUCUCUGGGCCGAUACUGACNCUNAGGAGCCAAA
rnacentral:rRNA from 1 species